GGGAUAAUAGGUUGAUGACUCCCAAGAGCUCUUAUUAGUGAAGUUGUUUGGCACCUCGAUGUCGACUCAUCACAUCCUGGGGUUGAAGAAGGUCUCAAGGGUUUGGUUGUUUGUCGAUGAAAGUGGUACAUGAGUUGGGUUUAGAACGUUAUCAGAUUGUUCGGUUCCUAUCUACCGUUGGUGUGAACAGGAGAACUGCAAGGAG
rnacentral:ncRNA from 1 species